rnacentral:rRNA from 1 species
AGAGUUUGAUCCUGGCUCAGGACGAACGCUGGCGGCGUGCCUAAUACAUGCAAGUAGAACGCUGAAGAGAGGAGCUUGCUCUUCUUGGAUGAGUUGCGAACGGGUGAGUAACGCGUAGGUAACCUGCCUUGUAGCGGGGGAUAACUAUUGGAAACGAUAGCUAAUACCGCAUAACAAUGGAUGACACAUGUCAUUUAUUUGAAAGGGGCAAUUGCUCCACUACAAGAUGGACCUGCGUUGUAUUAGCUAGUAGGUGAGGUAAUGGCUCACCUAGGCGACGAUACAUAGCCGACCUGAGAGGGUGAUCGGCCACACUGGGACUGAGACACGGCCCAGACUCCUACGGGAGGCAGCAGUAGGGAAUCUUCGGCAAUGGGGGCAACCCUGACCGAGCAACGCCGCGUGAGUGAAGAAGGUUUUCGGAUCGUAAAGCUCUGUUGUAAGUCAAGAACGGGUGUGAGAGUGGAAAGUUCACACUGUGACGGUAGCUUACCAGAAAGGGACGGCUAACUACGUGCCAGCAGCCGCGGUAAUACGUAGGUCCCGAGCGUUGUCCGGAUUUAUUGGGCGUAAAGCGAGCGCAGGCGGUUUGAUAAGUCUGAAGUUAAAGGCUGUGGCUCAACCAUAGUUCGCUUUGGAAACUGUCAAACUUGAGUGCAGAAGGGGAGAGUGGAAUUCCAUGUGUAGCGGUGAAAUGCGUAGAUAUAUGGAGGAACACCGGUGGCGAAAGCGGCUCUCUGGUCUGUAACUGACGCUGAGGCUCGAAAGCGUGGGGAGCGAACAGGAUUAGAUACCCUGGUAGUCCACGCCGUAAACGAUGAGUGCUAGGUGUUGGAUCCUUUCCGGGAUUCAGUGCCGCAGCUAACGCAUUAAGCACUC